AUCCAGGCAACAGUUUUCCCUAUAAACUGACCUCUCAGUUUGACUUGUGAGGGUAUUGCCCCAGAAUUACAAUAUUGUUGAAGUACCUCUUAGCUAUUGAUAACGGGUUUAAAUAUAGCAGCUUGUUAUCUGGUAGUUUCUAGUGUAGAAAAUAUCAAUCUGUUUUCUAUCACUUAGAUCUGUGUAACAAGUGUUGUAGGUGUGAAACAAUAUUACAAGUGAC